CUGUAUUUUCGUAUUGGUGUUGUUCCACUCGUUUGUAAACUGUGUCUCCGAAUAUUCUCACUUCUUACUUCUAUGAUCAGAAAUUCUGUAAAAAGUGAAGUAUUAUAAAGAUUCAAGAAAGAAAGACACUCGAGCGAACAGUAGGGUGAUAUUUUUAAUCGAAAUUUUAUCGCGCGUGUGACCGUACGGGGAAAAAAUCAACAGGCAACAGCUGAAACCAUGCCUGUGAAAUGGGAGUUGCCUGAGUGCAACACGAUAUUUUCACGGAGAAGCUCUUUGCUAAGACUUAAAAGAACACACACUGAAGACAAACCUUAUGAAUGUGAUGUUUGCAACAAAAGAUUUUCGCGAUCAAGCCACUUAACUAACCACCAAAGAACACACACUGGAGACAAACCUUAUGAAUGUGGUGUUUGCAGCAGAAGAUUUUCCCAAUCAAGCACCUUAGUUACCCAUAAAAGAACACACACUGGGAACAAACCUCAUGAAUGUGAUGUUUGCAACAAAAGAUUUUCGCAUUCAAGUAACUUAACUACCCACCAAAGAACACAUACUGGAGAGAAACCUUAUGAAUGUGAUGUUUGCAACAAAAGAUUUUCAAGAUCAAGCUGCUUAGCUACCCACCAAAGAACACAUACUGGAGAGAAACCUUAUGCAUGUGAUGUUUGCGACAAAAAAUUUUCGCGAUCAAGCCACUUAGCUACCCACCAAAGAACACACACUGGAGACAAACCUUAUGAAUGUGAUGUUUGCAACAAAAGAUUUUCCCAAUCAAGCGCCUUAGCUACCCAUAAAAGAACACACACUGGGAACAAGCCUCACGUAUGUGAUGUUUGCAACAAAAGAUUUUCGCUUUUAGGUAACUUAGCUACCCACCAAAGAACACACACUGGAGACAAAGAUUAUGAAUGUGAUGUUUGCAACAAAAGAUUUUCCCAAUCAAGCACCUUAACUACCCAUAAAAGAACACACACUGGGAACAAGCCUCAUGAAUGUGAUGUUUGCAACAAAAGAUUUUCACUUUCAGGUAACUUAGCUAUCCACCAAAGAACACACACUGGAGACAAACCUUAUGAAUGUGAUGUUUGCAACAAAAGAUUUUCCCAAUUAAGCUCCUUAACAAUCCAUAAAAGAACACAUACUGGGAACAAACCUCAUGAAUGUGAUGUUUGCAACAAAAGAUUUUCGCAUUCAGGUAACUUAACUACCCACCAAAGAACACAUACUGGAGAGAAACCUUAUGAAAGUGAUCUUUGCAACAAAAGAUUUUCACGAUCAAGCCACUUAGCUACCCACCAAAGAACACAUACUGGAGAGAAACCUUACAAAUGUGACGUUUGCAACAAAAGAUAUUUGAAUUCAAGCAACUUAGCGGUUCAUAAGAGAACACACACUGGAGACAAACCUUAUGAAUGUGAUAUUUGUAAAAAGAGAUUUUCACAAUCGAGCAAGUUAGCUAUGCAUAAAAAAACACAUACUGGUGACAAACCUUAUGAAUGUCAUGUUUGCAACAAGAGAUUUUCAGAGUCUUGCAAUUUGACACAACAUAAAAUAUCAGCACACAAGAGUGACAAGAGUUUUGAGUGCGGUAUCUGCAAAAAAACAUUCGCACAACAACAAAGUCUAACACGUCAUUGGAGAUUGUAUUCAAGAGAAGGUUUAUUAUUGUGCAACAGUUGUGGCAAAGAAAUUAUUCAAGGACAAGCACAUGUUAAUGAGAUACUGAUUGAUGAUUAUUUUGUCUGUGACAAAUGCAACAAACAGUUCCCCGAUAUUGAAAGUUUAUAUCAGCACAAGACCAAAGCACAUGGUACGUCCUACCAAUGUGAUGUCUGUAAGGAAUUAGAAGCAACACAUGCAACUGGUAUUGGCUAUAUCUGUUGUGUCUGCGAUGCCGAGUUUGAAAUCGCCACUGAACUUGAAGAUCAUAUGAGUAUGCAUGCCAAUGUGCUGCCCCACAAGCUAGGCAAGUAAAUUGAAAAUAUUUUGGGCAAUAUAUUGUGUUGAAAUUUGUAUAGGUAAUUGCAUGGGGUCGAGUAAAAUUAAGGUUUAAUUCCACACAUGUUUUCAAAGUUUCACAAUUGAAAUUAAACCUUAAUUUUAUGAGGAACUAUGUGAUUACUUGUUAAUCGCAGAGGGCAAAAUUUAUUUGUAAGUGAAUUGUGAACUUGUCAAGAUCUUGAACCUCGUAUGUCUCCAUGUCUUCGCCGAUCUUCCUUAAUGCUGCCCAUUUCUUAAAUACUCCAACCCAUAAAUUUGUACUUUUUCUUGUGGUCGAGUUUUCACUAGAAGUUUUUAAUUUCAAUAACACCAUUGUCCCCAACAACAAAGCAUGAAGCCAUUGUUUUUAUUGCUAUUUAAAACAAGAAACUUCCCACGCUUGCAUCUCAACUAAUCAGGU
rnacentral:lncRNA from 1 species